rnacentral:rRNA from 1 species
UACGAGGGGGGCGAGCGUUGUUCGGAAUUAUUGGGCGUAAAGGGUGCGUAGGCGGUUUUGUAAGUCUUAUGUGAAAUCUAUGGGCUCAACUCAUAGACUGCAUGAGAAACUGCAGGGCUUGAGUAUGGGAGAGGUGAGUGGAAUUCCUGGUGUAGCGGUGAAAUGCGUAGAUAUCAGGAGGAACACCGGUGGCGAAGGCGGCUUGCUGGGCCUUACCUGACGCUGAGGAGCGAAAGCGUGGGGAGCGAACAGG